GCAAGUCGAACGCAGUAGCAAUACUGAGUGGCAAACGGGUGAGUAUAAUGUGGGAAUCUGCCUUUUGGUUUGGAAUAACACGGGGAAACUUGUGCUAAUACCGAAUAAGCCCUUACGGGGAAAGUUUUAACGCCGAAAGAUGAGCCUGCACUUGAUUAGCUAGUUGGUAAGGUAAAAGCUUACCAAGGCAACGAUCAAUAGCUGUUCUUAGAGGAAGACCAGCCACAUUGGGACUGAGACACGGCCCAGACUCCUACGGGAGGCAGCAGUGGGGAAUCUUGCACAAUGGGGGAAACCCUGAUGCAGCGAUGCCGCGUGAGUGAAGAAGGCCCUUGGGUUGUAAGACUCUUUCGUCGGGGAAGAAAAUGACUGUACCCGAAUAAGAAGGUCCGGCUAACUUCGUGCCAGCAGCCGCGGUAAUACGAAGGGACCUAGCGUAGUUCGGAAUUACUGGGCUUAAAGAGCUCGUAGGUGGUUAAAAAAGUUGAUGGUGAAGUCCCAAGGCUCAACCUUGGAACUGCCAUCAAAACUUUUUAGCUAGAGUGUGAUAGAGGUAAGUGGAAUUUCUAGUGUAGAGGUGAAAUUCGUAGAUAUUAGAAAGAACACCAAAUGCGAAGGCAACUUACUGGGUCACUACUGACACUGAGGAGCGAAAGCAUGGGUAGCGAAGAGGAUUAGAUACCCUCGUAGUCCAUGCCGUANACGAUGUGUGCUAGACGUUGGAAAUAUAUUUUUCAGUGUCGCAGCGAAAGCAUUAAGCACACCGCCUGGGGAGUACGACCGCAAGGUUAAAACUCAAAUGAAUUGACGGGGACCCGCACAAGCAGUGGAGCAUG
rnacentral:rRNA from 1 species